UACGUAGGUGGCAAGCGUUGUCCGGAUUUAUUGGGUUUAAAGGGUGCGUAGGCGGUCUAUUAAGUCAGUGCUGAAAUAUCCCGGCUUAACCGGGAGGGUGGCAUUGAUACUGAUGGACUUGAGUGCAGUCGAGGUAGGCGGAAUUGACGGUGUAGCGGUGAAAUGCUUAGAUAUCGUCAAGAACACCGAUAGUGAAGACAGCUUACUAGACUGGAACUGACGCUGAGGCACGAAAGUGUGGGGAUCAAACAGG
rnacentral:rRNA from 1 species